GAUGAACGCUGGCGGCGUGCUUAACACAUGCAAGUCGAACGGAAAGGCUCCUGCUUGCAGGGGUACUCGAGUGGCGAACGGGUGAGUAACACGUGGGUGAUCUGCCCUGCACUUCGGGAUAAGCCUGAGAAACUGGGUCUAAUACCGGAUAGGACCACAUUUUGGAUGGUGUGGUGGAAAGUUUUUCGGUGUGGGAUGAGCUCGCGGCCUAUCAGCUUGUUGGUGGGGUAAUGGCCUACCAAGGCGUCGACGGGUAGCCGGCCUGAGAGGGUGUACGGCCACAUUGGGACUGAGAUACGGCCCAGACUCCUACGGGAGGCAGCAGUGGGGAAUAUUGCACAAUGGGCGCAAGCCUGAUGCAGCGACGCCGCGUGGGGGAUGACGGCCUUCGGGUUGUAAACUCCUUUCGCUAGGGACGAAGCGUUUUUGUGACGGUACCUGGAGAAGAAGCACCGGCUAACUACGUG
rnacentral:rRNA from 1 species